rnacentral:rRNA from 1 species
UACGGAGGGUGCAAGCGUUAAUCGGAAUUACUGGGCGUAAAGCGCACGCAGGUGGCUGAGAAAGUCGAUUGUGAAAGCCCUGGGCUUAACCUGGGAAUUGCAGUCGGAACUACUCGGCUAGAGUAUGGGAGAGGACAGUGGGAAUUCCCGGUGUAGCGGUGAAAUGCGUAGAUAUCGGGGAAGAACACCAGUGGCGAAGGCGGCUCGCUGGGCCGAUGCUGACGCUGAGGCGCGAAAGCAUGGGGAGCGAACAGG